rnacentral:lncRNA from 1 species
GGCAAACACAGACAGUUUCUAGUUGCAAGAUAUCUCCCAUGGCAGGGAAAAAAAAAAUUCUUCAGGGAUGCAGACAAUCCAGGAAUUGGUAAUAAUCCACUGACCUUUCUAGGAAGUAAGAGCAAAGAACAAACAGGUUAGAUUCUGAGAGGCUGUUUCUAAGUUUGAUGGUUUUUUUCCUAAGCCUGAGGCACUGAGAAGGGUUCAAGCUUGUAUUCUCCAGAUGCAAGCCAACCUAUUGCUGCAACUGACAAAUAAGUAUAAUACUGACACAAAUGUGGGCUGCUUUUGUUUGUGUGUGAAGACAUAUGUCAGAACUCCACUCAUCUGUCAAUGAUGGUGCGAAUAAAGCCCGAUUUCCACCGGCAGCUAUUAUAACCAGGAGAGGAUCCUGCCUUUGGCUAAGGCCAGUGGAAAGGAAGGCAAAUGGAGAGAAAGAAAGAGCCUGAAUCUUUGAGCUGUCACUCAGUUGCGAUCAAACUGCCUAGAACUCACCCCACCUCUGAUCUCCUGCUCGGACAAAAAUAACUCAAGCUCCCAUUGUUCAAACCAGCUUGUGUCAUGGUUUCUGAUGUUUAUAACUAAGACCAAUUCAAACAAUACAAUAUUUUAAAUCUUUAUUAUUUUUUAAGGAAACAAUAGCUUAAGGGUAAAAACUCAUCUCUAAUUGUAAAAAAAAAUAUAUCUCUAAUUGUAGGCUUUUGAAGUUAGGGUCAGUAUUUUUAGAUAGAAUCUUUCAAAACUCAGGAGAGAGACUCAGCUUAUUUCAUCUGUAUGAUGAGGAUGUCUCCUUUAUUCUUUUUCCUAUCACACUUAUGCCAGGCUUUCUUUCAAAACUUAACUCACCCAGCUCCUUGUCUUUGAAAGCUUCUUUUAAUUCUUCUCCCACAUUCCCCAAAACCAAGUCAAUUCUCUCCCUCAGUGCCCUCAUGUGUAUAAAUUGCAUAUCGUAUGGCAUUUUUUUCACAUCUGUAAGACUCCCAAUUUCCCAAAGG